GAUGAAGAACGUAGCGAAAUGCGAUACUUGGUGUGAAUUGCAGAAUCCUGUGAACCAUCGAGUCUUUGAACGCAAGUUGCGCCUCAAGCCAUUAGGUUGAGGGCACGUCUGCCUGGGCGUCACAUAUCGUUGCCUGAUGCCAGUUUCCUCGUGAUGGGUGACUGUGCAGGGCGAAUGAUGGCUUCCCGUGAGCAUUGUUGCCUCAUGGUUGGUUGAAAAUUGAGUCCUUGGUAGGGAGCGCCGUGAUAGAUGGUGGUUGAGUGACGAACGAGACCCAAUCAUGUGAGACCCCUACCGAAUUUGGCCUUCAUGACCCACAUGCGUCUUUGGAACGCUCAUGACGAGACCUCAGGUCAGGCGGGGCUACCCGCUGAGUUUAAGCAUAUCAAUAAGCGGAGGA
rnacentral:misc_RNA from 1 species